rnacentral:RNase_P_RNA from 1 species
GAAGCUGACCAGACAGUCGCCGCUUCGUCUUCGUCCUUUCGGGGAGACGGGCGGAGGGGAGGAAAGUCCGGGCUCCAUAGGGCAGGGUGCCAGGUAACGCCUGGGGGGGAAACCCACGACCAGUGCAACAGAGAGCAGACCGCCGAUGGCCCACGUAAGUGGGAUCAGGUAAGGGUGAAAGGGUGCGGUAAGAGCGCACCGCGCGGCUGGUAACAGUCCGUGGCACGGUAAACUCCACCCGGAGCAAGGCCAAAUAGGGGUUCAUAAGGUACGGCCCGUACUGAACCCGGGUAGGCUGCUUGAGCCAGUGAGCGAUUGCUGGCCUAGAUGAAUGACUGUCCACGACAGAACCCGGCUUAUCGGUCAGUUUCACUU